rnacentral:rRNA from 1 species
UUAAACUGAAGAGUUUGAUCAUGGCUCAGAUUGAACGCUGGCGGCAGGCUUAACACAUGCAAGUCGAGCGGUAACAGGGGGUGCUUGCACCCCGCUGACGAGCGGCGGACGGGUGAGUAAUGCAUAGGAAACUGCCCAGUAGUGGGGGAUAGCCCGGGGAAACCCGGAUUAAUACCGCGUACGCCCUUCGGGGGAAAGCAGGGGAUCUUCGGACCUUGCGCUAUUGGAUGAGCCUAAGUCGGAUUAGCUAGUUGGUGGGGUAAAGGCCUACCAAGGCGACGAUCCGUAGCUGGUCUGAGAGGAUGAUCAGCCACAUCGGGACUGAGACACGGCCCGAACUCCUACGGGAGGCAGCAGUGGGGAAUAUUGGACAAUGGGGGCAACCCUGAUCCAGCCAUGCCGCGUGUGUGAAGAAGGCUUUCGGGUUGUAAAGCACUUUCAGUAGGGAGGAAAACCUUAUGGCUAAUACCCAUGAGGCUUGACGUUACCUACAGAAGAAGCACCGGCUAACUCCGUGCCAGCAGCCGCGGUAAUACGGAGGGUGCAAGCGUUAAUCGGAAUUACUGGGCGUAAAGCGCGCGUAGGUGGUUUGGUAAGCGAGAUGUGAAAGCCCCGGGCUUAACCUGGGAACGGCAUUUCGAACUGUCAGACUAGAGUGUGGUAGAGGGUAGUGGAAUUUCCUGUGUAGCGGUGAAAUGCGUAGAUAUAGGAAGGAACACCAGUGGCGAAGGCGGCUACCUGGACCAACACUGACACUGAGGUGCGAAAGCGUGGGGA